GACUUAACUGAGUAAAAGGCUAAACUAACGUUAGUUUCAACGUUUAGGUUUUCUUCUCUAACUCUCUAUCCCUCUCCUCUCCGUUUCUUUCUCCCUCCCAUCAAACCCAGCGAUGGUCAUUGGUCAAGCUUCUUCAGUUCUCCAACCCAUACACAGUUGUGCAUCAACUGUAUUUCAGUCAUCCACCUCUGUCUCUGUCUCUCUCUUAGGUUUCUCUCUCUCACUGAACCCAAUCGAAUCAAGGGGGGAGGGGAGGAAGGGUGUUUGUUUCUCGAGAAUCCGAGAAAGAUUUUGAAUCAGCUUCUGGGCAUCAUUUUGGUAUAAUUGUUGGGGAGUCAAGCCAUCAGAAAUUGUUCGAAUCUACAAAAUCUUCUCAAAAAGUAGAUCUUCAAGGAUGCAAGACUUUCUUCUUCUUUUUCUUGCCCAAUUUUCUAUGAGAAUCAUGUAUUAUAGUGGUGAAAGUUGUUUAUUGUCAACAAUCAUGUUGUUAUGGUUUCAAUAGAACUCUUGUUAUCAUGGAUUCAUAGUCUUGUGAUCAAAAUGUUCAUUUUAAUAAACUUUUGUUCAUUUUUGGAUCA